rnacentral:rRNA from 1 species
GAUGAACGCUAGCGGGAGGCUUAACACAUGCAAGUCGAAGGGCGGCACGUCUUCGGAUGGUGGCGACUGGCGAACGGGUGCGUAACGCGUAUGCAACCUACCCUCAACAGGGGAAUAGCCCAGAGAAAUUUGGAUUAAUACCCCAUAGUAUUACAGAUUCGCAUGUUUCUGUGAUUAAAGUUCCAACGGUUGAGGAUGGGCAUGCGUGACAUUAGCUUGUUGGUGAGGUAACGGCUCACCAAGGCAACGAUGUCUAGGGGUUCUGAGAGGAUGAUCCCCCACACUGGUACUGAGACACGGACCAGACUCCUACGGGAGGCAGCAGUGAGGAAUAUUGGACAAUGGAGGCAACUCUGAUCCAGCCAUCCCGCGCGCAGGAAGAAGGCCCUAUGGGUUGUAAACUGCUUUUAUACAGGAAUAAACCCCUNUACGUGUAGAGGGCUGAAGGUACUGUAAGAAUAAGCACCGGCUAACUCCGUGCCAGCAGCCGCGGU